rnacentral:tRNA from 1 species
AUUCAAAUAGCUUAUUUUUAGAGUAUGGCACUGAAGAUGCUAUGGAGAUAAUUUUUAUCUUUGGAUA